ACUUCACAGAUGCUGCUGAGCUCUGCCACCGAGAGACAAAUCCCAGAAGGGGAAGAGAGCGUGGUGGGGAGGGAAGAGAUGAAAGCAGAAAAGAGCCGCAUUUAUUAAGCUGUUUUUCUUUCAGAGAAAAGAAGCAUUUAUCAGUGAUUUCAUAUAUCAUGUGAGAUGUGGCUCCCUGCCAAUUUCUAAGGAUGCAAAAAAGCCACUGACAUCACUCACUAAAUAUAGAGCAGCUCCUGCUUUAGGUGAAUAAAUAAUGCAGAUGCAAAAGCCCAGGUCUUCAGUUACACAUUCAUUACCAUCUGUCUGUCAGGUUCUCAUCAUCAGGAGAACAACGUCCGACUCCGGCAAGGAGUGACAGGUGAAGAAUGCAAAACAACUGCAAACAAUAGAUCAAAGGCACUGAGCAGGAGGAAGCAGCGUCCCAACCCAUCCUUACUGGUGGAGAACAGAUACAGGGAAGCAGGAAACAAGAAGACAAUGUGCCAUCAAAGCUGCUGCAAGGUGUUGGAUCAAUGACAACAUCUGCAUGAGGGUCUGGGCUACAAUAGAAGCUGUUACCAUGGGAACGGGUGCAAAAGCAUCAGGCGGGAAGGAGCAGGCGAUGAUGAAAGGUGGGAAAGUGGGAGAGGGUAUUUUUAGAUCGCUUAGGAGGAAUGCCACACAAUGACAUCAUCCUAUCUCAUUAUUUGCACCCAUGCUGUAUAACGCAUUGUGGCGUCUGCCCCAGGCUGUUAAAUGGGAAAACGUUAUUAUGGAUGUGAAUUACAAAUACUGCAGUGAAACUUGAGCUCGGGAGUUAUUAGGCAUCACUAUUCUGUAAUAAAGGAGAGCAUUUAAUACACUGUGCUCUACAGAUCCAGUGUACAGCACAAGAA